AUUAUAUAUACGUGCAACAAGUAUAUUGUAACCUGGUCAGAGUGGGAACACAGCAGCCACAUCAAUCACUACUUGUGUGCACCUUUUUUAUUUAUUA
rnacentral:SRP_RNA from 1 species